GAAUAAUGAGAAUCUCGAGCAAAAUAGCCUAAAAAGAGGAAGUUUCUUCAUGGCCUUUUGCCUGGACCCACGGAUGAUCGGUUUAUCACAGCGGUGGUCCACGGGGUUGCCGUAGAAAUGCGGCCGCCUUCACAUUUUGAAAAGAGAUCGACGAAGCGUUAAA
rnacentral:ncRNA from 2 species